rnacentral:rRNA from 1 species
UACGUAGGGGGCAAGCGUUGUUCGGAAUUACUGGGCGUAAAGGGCGCGUAGGCGGCACGACAAGUCGGGAGUGAAAGCCCGGGGCUCAACCCCGGAAUGUCUCUCGAAACUGUCGAGCUAGAGUGCAGAAGAGGCAACUGGAAUUCCCAGUGUAGCGGUGGAAAUGCGUAGAUAUUGGGAAGAACACCUGAGGCGAAGGCGGGUUGCUGGGCUGACACUGACGCUGAGGCGCGAAAGCCAGGGAGCGAACGGG